GCUGUGAUGAUUUUUAUAUGAUUUGAUCCAUUGGAGCUGAUUUUUUCACUUACUCUAAGAAGUACUGAGCCU